rnacentral:rRNA from 1 species
UACGUAGGGUGCGAGCGUUGUCCGGAAUUACUGGGCGUAAAGAGCUCGUAGGUGGUUUGUCGCGUUGUUCGUGAAAACCGGGGGCUUAACCCUCGGCGUGCGGGCGAUACGGGCAGACUUGAGUACUGCAGGGGAGACUGGAAUUCCUGGUGUAGCGGUGGAAUGCGCAGAUAUCGGUAGGAACACCAGUGGCGAAGGCGGUCUCUUGGGGCAUUCUUGACGCUGAGGCGCGAAAGCUGGGGGAGCGAACGGG